UCCCUUGUAGCUCAGUCGGUAAAGAAUCUGCCUGCAGUGCAGGAGACCCAGGUUCGAUCCCUAGGUUGGGAA
rnacentral:tRNA from 1 species